CGGCGCGGUGAAUACGUUCCCGGGCCUUGUACACACCGCCCGUCAAGCCAUGGAAGCUGGGGUACCCGAAGCCGCCUUUAACAAGCGUCUAAGGUAAACCAGUGACUGGGCU
rnacentral:rRNA from 1 species